AUGCCGCGGCCCGCGUGCGCCCGCUCCGCCGCCGAGUCACCAGGAAGGCCCCGGCGGCCCACCCCGCCAGCGCCCCACGCGGGGCCAGCGCCCCCCGCGCCGCCAGCGCCGGGUACCUCACGGCCGCCCCGCUGGCCGCCCGGGGGCGGGGCCGGCGCGCGGGGACUGCGCCUGCGCGGCCGGCCCUCACGGAGCCCGGGGAAGGUUGCGCCUGCGCAGUCGGCCCACUCCGGCCCGGGGGCGGGACUGCGCCUGCGCAGUCGGCCCAACCCAGCCCUGGGGGCGGGGCGACGCCUGUGGAAUCGCCCCUUCAGCGGCGCCUCGGCACCUAGAGCCGCCCGUCCGGCCGGGCCCCGGGGAGAGGCGGGCGUGCGGGCAUUGCGCCUGCGCGCGCCGGCCCCGCCCCCGGCCCCGCCCCGGCCGCGCGGGGCCCUGGGAGGGGUGCAGCGUCCGGCGGCUGCGGCGGCGGCGCGGGAGGGGCCGGGGGCGGACAAAGCCGAGGCCGAUGAAUGGGGCGCGUCCGCCUGCGCGGCCGUGGGGUCCCCGCGAUCCCUGCCCGGCGUGGAAGCUGGAGAGAGAGCAGACCUGGGCAGCGGCGCUGUGGGAGCACGAGGCGCUGUGGCCGUGGUCAGUCUGUCCUCCCCGUGUCUCUCUGCCCGGCCUCAGCUCCUUCCUCCCAGCUCUGCUCUGAUUCCCUCCUUCAGUGUGAGGACUGCCGGCGAGGGCAGGGGGCAGUGCUCGCAGGCACACGGGGGCGCCUGCCAGGGUUGGCUGGGGCCCCUCCGACUGUCCUUCAGCAGCGCCGGUUCCUCCUAAGCUUCUCUGCACAAAGCAGGCGACUGAGAGGUGACCAUCAUUCUCCUGGUUACUGCCUGACGUCUAAUGUAAGCUAUAGGAGGCAUCAUCUCUGUUUACGGUUGGUGUCUUACUGAAUUCAGCCGCACGGAGUCCUGCCCCGACCACCCCGCAGCCUCCCGUCUGGCCUCCCGUCAGUGUCCGGGUGGCGGCAGACUUCCUGUCAGGCAGCUUCCAGAGCCUCGGCCCCUUCCACUUCCCUGUCUUUCCCUCCCUCCUCCCUUAGGCUCCGUCCCUGCCUGAUUUUCGUCACUCUGAAGCAUUUAGAUCACGUCUAGCUAACUAUCUGAUGUGUGCUUUUGGCAGCUGGUAUCCUGGAAGGCACGGUUAGGAAUGAAAGCAGGCCUUUUCUCCUUCCUCCUGUUUCUGAGGUGGAGGGCCCGGGAGGGCUGGAGGUGCCUGCCUCCACGCGAGGCUUCUCGCCUCUCUCCUCUCGCCUGGCGCCGUUCUACCUGCUGGGGCAGUGGUGCAUGUCCCGGUGGGGAUGGGCAGAGAAGGCGGAGUGAGCUCUCCAAGGAAGAUCACAGGCAGGCAUGGGUGAAGGUGAUGGGCAGUGCAACAAGCGUGCUCUCGGAAGACUGCUUGGAGAGGAAGGGACCUUUGCAUCCCGCGCCGAGGGGCCAGGGGUGGCGGAGCGGAGGCCCUGCGUGAGGAGCGGCCUUGAGCUGCGGAGCCCGGCCCCUGCGUUCGGGCCGUCUCCUGUCGUGAGCCCGUCCCCCACCUUGCUCAGGUGCUCACCCUGCUUGGGUUCCGCUCUCCUUUGGGUGAAGCCCUUGUGGCAGCCACCUGCCCCCUCAGCGAGGUCUGCGCACCCCAGGAACCGGAGAGGCCGGGCCUGGGGCGGGGCAUCCCCUGCUGACCCGCCGCUGCCGCAGGGGCUCCUCAGUCUGCGCAACCCUGCCCGGCCCGCCCCAAGCCCGCAGGUCUAAACGUAGGGCCCGUCCUCACUCAGGGCCCGGCGACUGAGCCUGCCCGCGGUUGGCCUGCUGGGAGGGAGCAGCCCAGGGCGCGUGCUGUUUGGAGCAGGAGCUUGGGUGUCGCGCAGU
ensembl:lncRNA